UGAGUUGAGCUGAGCUUAGCUGAGCUGAGUUGAGCUGAGCUGAGUUGAGCUUAGCUGAGCUGAGUUGAG
rnacentral:miRNA from 1 species